rnacentral:rRNA from 1 species
CCUCUUUUCUUGGGGAAGAAUCUUGACGGUACCCAAGGAAUAAGCCUCGGCCAACUACGUGCCAGCAGCCGCGGUAAUACGUAGGAGGCAAACGUUAUUCGGAUUUACUGGGCGUAAAGGGAGCGUAGGCGGUUCCUUAAGUCGGAUGUGAAAUCUUCUGGCUCAAUCAGAAGGCGUCGUCUGAUACUGAGGGACUCGAGAGCAGCAGAGGGAAACGGAAUCUCCAGUGUAGCGGUGAAAUGCGUAGAUAUUGGAGAGAACACCAGUGGCGAAGGCGGUUUCCCAGGCUGUGUCUGACGCUGAGGCUCGAAAGCGUGGGGAGCGAAGCGGAUUAGAUACCCGCGUAGUCCACGCCCUAAACGGUGGACACUAGAUGUAGGAGGUAUCGACCCUUUCUGCGUCGAAGCUAACGCUUUAAGUGUCCCGCCU